rnacentral:rRNA from 1 species
GACGAACGCUGGCGGCGUGCUUAACACAUGCAAGUCGAACGGAAAGGCCCCUUUAGGGGUACUCGAGUGGCGAACGGGUGAGUAACACGUGAGUAACCUGCCCUUGACUUCGGGAUAACUUCAGGAAACUGGGGCUAAUACCGGAUAGGAAUCCUUGCUGCAUGGUGGGGGUUGGAAAGCUUCGGCGGUUUUGGAUGGACUCGCGGCUUAUCAGCUUGUUGGUGGGGUAGUGGCUUACCAAGGCUUUGACGGGUAGCCGGCCUGAGAGGGCGACCGGCCACAUUGGGACUGAGAUACGGCCCAGACUCCUACGGGAGGCAGCAGUGGGGAAUAUUGCACAAUGGGCGGAAGCCUGAUGCAGCAACGCCGCGGGCGGGAUGACGGCCUUCGGGUUGUAAACCGCUUUCAGCAGGGGCGAAGCUUGUGGUGACGGUACCUGCAGAAGAAGCACCGGCUAACUACGUG